rnacentral:tRNA from 1 species
GAAAACAGAGUUAGUUUAUAAUUCCUAAUUUACACUUAGGAGGGUCUCUCUCUCUGAGAGAUGUUUUCA